UUAAGUGCUUACUGUGUGCAGAGCAACUUACUAAGCCCUAGGAGAAAAAGCAUGGUUGCUGUCCCUUGCAGUUACCUCAAGUACAGGAACAGGAUUCUGCUCCAAAAGCAAUUUUACCAUAGAGUUCUCAGGGGAUAGAAACUGGGAAGAGGAGAUCAAACAAUCCUUCCUCAGAACUUAAGAAUUCCUGCCUGUUCUCAACCUCCAGUCAAUGAGGAAAUGGGGCAACACACUUCUCUCCAGCUACGAAACGAGGUUGGGGAAGACGUGGAGUCUACACGAACUAGAAGGCAUUGUCUGAGGAAAAGUUACCUCUUCAGAUCAACAGUGGUGACGUUGAACACAACCCCUUUCAGCCAGAGGAUCAUGAAGAGGCGCUGAGAGAAGGGGCAGUUUCCAAUGCUUUCCCCAUCUAUUCCAGCCUAGAGGAAAGAAAACCAAAAUACAAGUUUUUUUGUUGUUGUUGGGAAAAAGAAAAUUAAAAUCAACCAGUCCCUGGACUACCAACCA